UACGUAGGGCGCAAGCGUUAUCCGGAAUUAUUGGGCGUAAAGAGCUCGUAGGCGGUUUUGUCGCGUCUGCUGUGAAAAUUGGAGGCUCAACCUCCAGCCUGCAGUGGGUACGGGCAAACUAGAGUGCGGUAGGGGAGAUUGGAAUUCCUGGUGUAGCGGUGGAAUGCGCAGAUAUCAGGAGGAACACCGAUGGCGAAGGCAGAUCUCUGGGCCGUAACUGACGCUCAUGCACGAAAGCGUGGGGAGCAAACAGG
rnacentral:rRNA from 1 species